GCAUUCAACUUGGCAGCACAUAUACUAAAAUUGAAACAAUGCAGAGAUUUGUACGGCCCCUGUGAAAGGAUGACACACAAAUUUGUGAAGCAUCCCAUAUUUUU